ACCACGGUAAACAACAAAAUGGCCGCUCCGUGACAACAAAGGUACAUGUUUGGGCGAUAAUUCUGCAAAAAGUAAACAAGAUACGCAACUGACAAUUUGAUACCACAAAGACAAAUGUCUCCGCUUUACAAUGAGACCAUUUUCAGCUUUCUGCGAUCAGAAUUGACUUCAAAACAUCGAUUUGAAAUUGCCCUGUCGUUCACCAUCUCCGAACUUUUUCUGGAAACCCAAGUCUAAAAUUAGACCGUAUUUUCCGAAAUCUGGGCGGUGACCUGGGUCACGUGGGGUCAAACUUGAGGUCAAACUAGGUUCAGCAAGGAGCGGGAGUAAUGGCUUUGCGCGCGAACGUAUUUCUGUGGAAUAAAAUCGUUUUCUUGUGCUUGCAGAUGGAGGGAGCUGAAAAAUCUUUAUGACAAAUUACAUCUCAGAAUGUCUGCCGUCGAAAACUACCAAGGAUGGACUGGGAUGGCAAUUACAGGAGACAAAAUCUGCAUGCAAAGAGAACUGUAUUGAUUUGAACAUCCCAAGAUGUCUCAAGUUUUACAAGUAUAUGGAAGUGGUGUGUGACAGAUUUUCCACAGCAAAGUUAUUGAGACAAAAUGAGAGCACUGUAAUGAUUUGCACAGACCAAGAUGUCUC